UGGUCUCCAGCUCAGUCACAGCCAUGCCUGCGCUUAACCAUGGGACUUGGGCUCCCAGCUGUGAGCUGUCUUCCUGACCUUGGCCCUUCCUCAGCUAGUACCUGAUGGUCUGGGAGCUUGCCUGACCCCUGGUUGCCACCCUGAGGCCUGUCCUGCUUGCUGUGCUCGGCUCCAGGGAACUGCACCCUGUCUGGGAGGGCAGGUGUGUUAUUGUGGCUGAGGGAGCCAUUGGGCUGCACUAACUGUGGCUGUACCCCUGCCAUUAAGAAAAGAUGAAAUGGCAGAAGAGGAGGCUGGUGAUGAAGCAGAAGACGAGGAAGGAACAACUGCAACUUCUAGGCCACGAGCUGAAUGAUGAUAUGUCUAGAGGCAAUGCUGAGCUGUCUCUGCUGAUGAAGCCCGGCGUGUUUCAGCAUCUCUAAAGGUCUUUAGUACCGCUGAUGUGCAGGUCGCCGGCCAGCUGCAAUUUCGUCGGCCAAAGGUGAAAACAAAGCUAUAAAGGAGUAAGCUUCUCCCCCUCGCUCCCCGCGCCGCUCAUGGGUCCGAGAGGACAGGGAUGCUCUGACGAGCAUCCGCGCACCACCGGCAGCAUAGCGCCUUUUAGGAGGGAUCUGGAGGGCU